CUCCCAACCCACUAACCUCCAGAACCGGUUCCCCUCUCCUCCCUCGACCCCUCCCCUCCAUUAGUGCGCCCUAAUUCCCCCCCUAAUGGCCAUUAGAACCACAGGUAACUGCUGCCAUUAACGCCCUUAAAUCCGACGAUGCCCGCUCUCCUCUGGCUCCCCCUGACCCUCUAUAAAAUCCCAAGGAGUCUCCCAGGUUCUCCUUGUCCGAAGCCCCCUCCUUGGAGGAGCUAUCUCUCUCUCCAUCUUCCCAAAUUGCUCGCCGGAGUUCUACUCUGCCGCCGCUGUCCGUCAAUUACUCCGGCGAUUACAAGCCGGAGCACGAGUUUCAUGUUGUCUGCUUCUGACCGGAGCUUCGCCAACUCCGGCAGCUGUUCACCGCCACCAGAGGAAGAGGCCGAGGACACAACCGAGUCCGAAGAGUUCGCCUCGACCUCCUCUUUCCCGUCCACCUCGAGAGCAUCACCAGAGCACGCCCGAGCCGUCGUCCCUCUCGUCGCCGGCGACCAACUCCGAUGAGAUAUAUCGUAAAGUGAAGGAGUGACGAUAACAAGUAGAGAAUCACUUCAAGACACAGGCAAGUUGCAAUUUGAUCAUGCACUGACCUAUAUUUUCAUAUUAUGCAUAUCUCUUUGAAUUUAAAUACUAUGCAU